rnacentral:rRNA from 1 species
UCAGUAACACGUAGUCAACAUGCCCAGAGGACGUGGAUAACCUCGGGAAACUGAGGAUAAACCGCGAUAGGUCAUGAUUUCUGGAAUGGUUUAUGGCUGAAAUCUAUAUGGCCUCUGGAUUGGACUGCGGCCGAUCAGGCUGUUGGUGAGGUAAUGGCCACCAAACCUGUAACCGGUACGGGCUCUGAGAGGAGGAGCCCGGAGAUGGGCACUGAGACAAGGGCCCAGGCCCUAUGGGGCGCAGCAGGCGCGAAAUCUCUGCAAUAGGCGAAAGCUUGACAGGGUUACUCUGAGUGAUUCCCGCUAAGGGGAUCUUUUUGGCACCUCUAAAAAAUGGUGCAGAAUAAAGGGGUGGGCAAGUCUGGU